rnacentral:rRNA from 1 species
CCUACGGGAGGCAGCAGUGAGGAAUAUUGGUCAAUGGACGAGAGUCUGAACCAGCCAAGUAGCGUGAAGGAUGACUGCCCUAUGGGUUGUAAACUUCUUUUAUAUGGGAAUAAAAUGUUCCACGUGUGGGAUUUUGUAUGUACCAUAUGAAUAAGGAUCGGCUAACUCCGUGCCAGCAGCCGCGGUAAUACGGAGGAUCCGAGCGUUAUCCGGAUUUAUUGGGUUUAAAGGGAGCGUAGGUGGAUUGUUAAGUCAGUUGUGAAAGUUUGCGGCUCAACCGUGAAAUUGCAGUUGAAACUGGCAGUCUGGAGUACAGUAGAGGUGGGCGGAAUUCGUGGUGUAGCGGUGAAAUGCUUAGAUAUCACGAAGAACUCCGAUUGCGAAGGCAGCUCACUGGACUGCAACUGACACUGAGGCUCGAAAGUGUGGGUAUCAAACAGGAUUAGAUACCCCUGUAGUC